GGGGGGGGUGUGUUUGGGAGGGGGUGGUUGGGGUUGGGUCUGGGGGAGAGGGGGUGUAAAUUUCCUACCUAUUACAAACUGACACAUUAACUAUCCGUAAAUACUCUCACUUCUCAAUCUGCAAUUUUUGUUCUUUGAAGCAUGUAAAAAAUUUUCAAAAUUUAAAAGGUUGACCAUUAAUAAUAGAGAUAAUGGAAAAGAAAGCUAUAGUAAUUUGACUUGGUAGCUGUUAUUAUUCAUUUAAAGUUUAUUGAAUUUGUUGUUCAUGUGGUAGUUGUAAUUAAUUACAGAGCUGAUUGUAAUUAAUCACUUUGACCCCGCUGUUGCUUAAAAGUUCUAGUGUUUACUCUUUA
rnacentral:misc_RNA from 1 species